AGCGGACGCGAGCGAUGCGCGAUUAUAUUGUGCGGAUGGAAUAACACACACGUACCCGCUACGUUCAAAUCACUUUGACGUUUCGCUUGUUUGCAUAUCGAAGUAGUGUGGGAUUUAAGUUCGUCGGAUCUGGAGGGUUCCGCGAACGGAAUUCUCCUGCGUUUCCAACGCGCGACGAUAAAGCUAGAGAAUAUUUUAAUUGGAAAUAAAUUGUAUUUUGUGAGGAGGAGAUUUCUUUAACUCGAGUAGGCGUUCGGAUGAGGAAGGGAGGCGAAUUCCGCAAUUGUGCCCCGGAGUUUUCCGCGGGAGCACCGUGAGAGAGGCAGCUGCAGAAGCUGCAGGAAUGCGCAUCCGUGGAAUAUAACGUCCGCCGUUGGUAUUUUGAGUCUUGCCUGCAGGCACUUUCGGAGGUUUAAUCGUACAAUUUUCGAAUAUCUCGGUAGAUGCUACUGCUCGCCGUUGGCUAUCGUCGGUUAACUUGCUAUAUUGUUACGCACGCCGCCUUUCAAUGCCGUACGCGGUUAAGUCGUAAAAAGAAGGAAUCAUAUCGAGGAUAUCUACUUUAAAUGGUGUUUAGUCGAGAUUAAGUUCGCUCUUUUACAUUCCUUUUUUUAUAGCUUGCAAAUGGACAGUCAUGUUAUAAAAAAAAAAAAUGUAUUAACUUAUAGGAGGUAGCUUUCUGAGUAGAUUAAAUUUAAAAUCUA